GUGCGGAUGGCAGAGUGGUCAAUUGCAUCUGAUUGCAGAUCAGAAAAACCGGGGGUUCGAAUCCCUCUCCGCACU
rnacentral:tRNA from 1 species